UUAGGUGCUCAAAUUCCUGUUUCAAUACAAUGCUUGGCGUAUCACGUUUGUCGAAUCUGGUCAGUGAUUUAUCACAUUUUGGAUAAGGUUGCCAUGGUGAGAUUUUUUUGCUGCACUCAAGGAUCAUUGAGUUAUAUUCUGAAAAGCCAUAGUGCUCAAUUUCCUGCGACAUGCGCAUACUAAAUGGCAAUACCGCUGAAGGUCUGUUCAAAAAGAGCUGUUUAUAUUGUGUGUCUUUUAUAGCAGGGGUCGCCGGGUUUUGUGGGUAGCCUCUAAUCCUUAAUGCAUACGACGUACUCAGGUAGAACCGCCGUCUUUCGAGAGACCACUCAUUGGCUUCUACAUAAAGGCUCUCGACUGGCGAGGUCCGGAACGCUCCAAGGACCAGGCGCAGUCCCAGGUGAUGUACAGGGUCCAACAUUUUCAGAGUAGAAGGUCGUGCUGACCCAUACACCACACAACCGUAAUCAAGUUUUGAAAGGACAGUGGAGACAUAGAUCCGGUGUAAUGUAUCGCGAUCUGCGCCCCAUGAUCGGUGUGAGAGUACCUUUAAAAUGUUCAAAGACUUAAUGCAUUUUUUCUUGAGAGUUUUCAGGUGGGCUGAGAAAGACAGUUUUUCGUCGAAAAUGAGACCGAGGAAUUUGUGUUCAGGUUUCACGCUUAUACUUUGGUUGCACAUAGAAAGGGUGGGCUCUGGGAACAUUCCCCGAACCUUCGAGAAACGAACACAAACUGUCUUGUCGGGAGAGAAUUUGAAGCCAUUUUCCUGAGACCAUCUAACCAGCUUAUUUAUUGUUAGCUGUAGCUGCCGUUCGCACACCGAUAAGUUAGAGGAGCAAUAAGAAAUCUGAAUAUCGUCGACGUACAAUGAAUACUUGAUUGAUGUAGGGAUAACACUUGCUAUAGAGUUCAUUUUUACGAUGAAAAGGGUCACGCUAAGUACGGACCCCUGCGGGACACCAUUUUCCUGGAUGAAUGGACGAGAUAGUGUUGUCCCAACUUGUACCCUGAAAGAUCUCCCCUGUAGGAAAUUGGUAAUACAUUGGAACAUUCUGCCACGUAUACCAAGUGCAUGCAAGUCUCGAAGGAUACCAUAUCGCCAUGCUGUAUCGUAUGCCUUCUCUAGAUCGAAGAAAACAGACAUACAGUGCUGUUUCCUGACGAAGGCUUCUCUAAUGGUAGUCUCCAAACGCAAAAGUUGGUCGACUGUUGAGCACGCAGCUCUAAAGCCACACUGAUAUUGAUCUAAACAAUUAUUUUCUUCCAGAAAAUACAUAAGACGGUUGUUGACCAUGCGCUCAAAGGUCUUCCCCAGACAACUUGUCAGCGCUAUGGGUCGGUAACUGCACGGAUGCGAGGGAUCUUUUCCUGGCUUCAGCAGUGGAACUAUGAUUGCCUCCUUCCAGCCAGAAGGGAGAACACCUUCUAGCCAGACGAAAUUAAAGAAAUCCAGGAGAGAAUUUAAUGAAGUUAACGACAGAUGUUUAAGCAUGGAGUACACUAUGCGAUCAGGUCCAGGUGCUGAGUUUUUAGGGGAUGACAGAGCCCUUUGUAGCUCCGCCAUUGAAAAAGGUGAGUUGUAACCACACCUCUCAUCUAACCCACUAUCAAGUGUUUGCCUUUCAGCAGAUGAUUUAAUCUUUAAGAAAUCUCUGCUGUAAUGGGAUGAACUUGACACUCGUUGGAAAUGUUCCCCGAGGGCAUUGGCCUGCUCCUCCAUACUUUGACACACGUUACCAUUUAUUUGUAACAGUGGUACACAGAAACUUGUAUAGUCGCCCUUUAUUUUCUUUAGUCUGUCCCAUAUUAUUUUUGAUGGAGUUGUAGCAUUUAAAGAUGAUACGAAAUUUCUCCAAGAUUCUUUCUUUGCUUGCUUUCGCGUCGAACGUGCUUUCGCUCUAGCUCUCCUGAAAGCAAUUAGGUUUGUUAUAGUGGGGUGUCUUCGAAAGACACCCCACGCUCGGUUUUGUUCUUUGCGUGUGCUUUCACAAUUGCUCGUCCACCAAGGCUUGGAGCGCUUGGGGAGUCGGCCGGAUGUUUGCGGAAUGGACUGUUGAGCGGCAUUUAUAAUGGUAUGAGUGAUCAACUUAUUUGCCUCCUCAACAUUCAAACCCUCAAAAGCAGAAGAUGGGAAAUUGGCUUGUCUUUCAAAUAUGUCCCAAUUUGCCUCUUGUAAUUUCCACCGUGGUGGACGUGUUCUUAUGUUGUUAGUGUGACCGUGAAAUUUAAUAAUGAGCGGAAAAUGGUCGCUGCCUCGGGGAUUCUGUUCGACUGUCCAGUCAAGAAGCUGAAAAAUGGAUGGGCUGCAUAGUGAGAUGUCUAUGCAAGAAAAAUUUUGUGUCGAAGAGUUCACAUAGGUAGGUAGCCCAGUAUUCAGAAGACAGAGUGACCCCGAAAGGAGGACCCUCUCCAACAUUUUCCCCCGUGCAUCUAGUUUUGCACUUCCCCACAAAGGAUUGUGGGCAUUCAGGUCGCCUAAAAUCACAAACGGCUGGGGGAGUUGAUUGCAUAGAUUUUCGAAAUCUCUUUGCUCUAUUACCACUGAUGGGGGCAGGUAGAGUGAACAUACUGUCAAAGUCCUGUCGAGGCACACUUCGACUGCUACUGCCUCCAAGUCUGUAACGAGUGGAAAGUGUUUUACAGGUAUGCACUGCGGAAGGACUACAGCCACACCACCAGAUGCACGUGCGCUGUCUGUGCGGUCCUUCCUGAAAACAUUAUGGCGACGGAAAGGGUUUGAGUUUUCUUUGUGUAGGUAUGUUUCUUGCAGGCAGAAGCAGACAGCUCGGUACUUUUCAAACAGAUCGUGUACAUCAUCAAUGUUACUGUAGAGGCCUCGACAAUUCCACUGAAGGAAUACCUGUCCCAUAAUUAGGAUGGAAAUAAGGAAGAGCAAAGGGAGUCUGCACAUUGGGCGUUAAGGGGGUGUGACCCUUGGCGGGGGAAGCCUCUGUUUCUCCCUUGACUUGCCUCUACCUCGACCUCCAGGUUUUUCUCUUUGCUCCUUCCCUUGCGAAGGAGCUCUCUGGUCCAGUGUACAUGGAAGACUUGACGAUGAUUUCUGCGACAUGCAGUCAUCAUCGUCAAGCUCCAUUGAGUGUGUGGCAGUCUGCGAUGAGCUCCCAGUGAGCCCAUCCCAAACUGAAAGCCCGCCAUCAACCUCCGUGGAGAUUGUGGAGGGAGCCUGCGGAGCCGAACUCUCCGUAGACUUUUCUUGUGUUUGGGGAGUGUGGAGUGGAGGCCCACAGGUUUGGGUCCCCACGGAUACUCUGAGCGAUGCCACUCCCCGGCGCACCGCUUCAGAGAAAGAUCCUCUUUUCUGAAACUCCAUUUGUGUCUUCGCUGCUUUGUAUGUCAGCUUCUGUACAGUUUUAAUUCUCAAGAUUUCUUUCUCGUCGCUAAAGCGUGGGCAACUUCUUGAAUAGGAUGGAUGAUUGCCUUCACAGUUGACACAACGUAAAGUGUUUUUACACGACUCUGGAGUAUGGUCAUUGCCAUCCCCCGCGCACUUGGGGCAGAUCAGGUGCCCACGGCAUACUUGGGAAUGGUGGCCAAAUCUCUGGCAUUUGAAACAUCGACGCGGGUUAGGUAUAUAGGGUCGGACAUGGCAGUUUACAUACCCAGCCUUUAUUUCUGUAGGAAGCGUGUGCAACUGAAAGGAUAAGAUGAUGUGCCUGGUUGGUAUUUCUUUGUUGUCCCUGCGGAUGGAUAUCCGUUUGGCACUGAUCACCCCUUGGUCUUUUAAGCCGUCCUCGAUCUCUGUUUCGGAGCACUGCAGUAACUCCUCGCUAGAGAUAACACCUCUGACUGUGUUGAGGGUGCGGUGUGCAGUUACUGAAACUGGAAUACUACCAAUCUGUUUUACUGACAAUAGUGCUGAGCUCUGCUGCCUGCUCUGGACCUCAAUGUGGAUGUCACCAGUUCUCAAUUUCUUUGCACUGUACACUUUACCAACUACUUGUUCUAGAGUUUUAGCGACUAGAAAGGGAGAGAUAGUAGCUAGUGGUUUUGUAUCAUCUUCAGCAUGAAUGAUCAGUAUCUUCGGGAAAUACGGUUCUGGAGAGGAAUUAAAAAACUGCAAUGUUUGCACAUCGGUGCGGUGCCUUUUGUGGCGCCGAUCAUGUUUUUUAGGGUUUGAGUUAUCCAUAAAGGAGGGAAGUUAUUCGGUGCAGAAGUGUGUCACCCACCAUGGAGCCCAACGAGGGAACGUGUCCCACACGUUAACACUGCCUCUGCACUAUACCCGAGUGCAGUUUUCUAAAGGAAGAAGUACUGCCCAAGGUUGACCCUUGCCGCCAAAGAAGGUGAAAGGGGAAAAGGAGAGAAAGAAGGAGACCAAGGAAGAGAAAGACCACCCGACUAUGGGAAGCAGGGGCCAAAGCGGCGUGUUGCUUUCCCGGAGGGGCCCCGAAGGGUCCUAACCAACCUCCGGGUCCGCUCAACCACCAGGAUCCCCCUUUCCCCAGACACGGGAAAGCCACGCACAGCUAUACGUGGGGGUCUCCCUCCUGCGGCGACCCAACCCUGAGUGCAGGAGGGGGCUACUGCGGCUGCUGCCGGGCGAUGGGGGCGCCAAGUUCCCGACGCCGGGAGGAAAUAGAAAAGGAAAAAGAACUCUGCUAUGGAGGGCGGAGCUGAGUGGAACAGUGUACGGCGGAGACCCAAUAAAGUACUACAAUUAUCCACAUGGAAAUACUACCAUCCAGCUGAUGUAUUAUCACGAGGGGGUCUGCUACGUAGGAAUUCGGAGUGGUGGCAAUUACCCAGAUACGCUCACAGAUAAAUUAAGAGGCCUCUUACUAUCUACGGCAUAUCCUAUCGAAGCUCACAGGACAGCAAAUUUGGCCAAUGC